ACUACGGGGCGCAGCAGUGAGGAAUAUUGGUCAAUGGGCGGAAGCCUGAACCAGCCAAGUAGCGUGCAGGAUGACGGCCCUACGGGUUGUAAACUGCUUUUAUACGGGAAUAACGCGCCUUACGUGUAGGGCUUUGCAUGUACCGUAUGAAUAAGGACCGGCUAAUUCCGUGCCAGCAGCCGCGGUAAUACGGAAGGUCCGGGCGUUAUCCGGAUUUAUUGGGUUUAAAGGGAGCGUAGGCCGCAUGUCAAGCGUGCUGUGAAAUGUCCGGGCUCAACCCGUGCCUUGCAGCGCGAACUGGCGUGCUUGAGUCCGCGGAAAGCAGGCGGAAUUCGUCGUGUAGCGGUGAAAUGCUUAGAUAUGACGAAGAACCCCGAUUGCGAAGGCAGCUUGCUGCAGCGGAACUGACGCUGAUGCUCGAAAGCGCGGGUAUCGAACAGGAUUAGAUACCCCUGUAGUC
rnacentral:rRNA from 1 species